UGACAAAGUGCGGCCUAGAUACGGAUUGGAAGAUGACGACGAAGACGAUUCAAAGAAGACGACAGGUAACAGUAAAACGGGCAAAGAUGGGAAAAGGGAUAAAGACAAGGGAAAGAAUGUCAAGGCUAAAAAAAGCUGCGUCACU
rnacentral:rRNA from 1 species